rnacentral:rasiRNA from 1 species
UGCACCAAAUAGGCGACCCUGAUU